CAGGACGGCUGUUGAUCUUAGUUAAACGGGGGCCCUGCUGCCACGUGUAGUUGGAUGCAGCUCUCUGUGUCAUUUCCGACCUGGAUUCCAGUCCUGAGUCGUUGGCUUGCAGGAACUUAAUUUUCAAGGCAGGCAAUAUUAUUAGCAGGGCGUGCCUACCUAGCCUUAGUGAUUAACGAGUUCAGCCCCACCAAGUCUAUUUCCUGGUGCUGUCGCUAUUGCAUUUCUGAUCAUCACUUGUCUCCUCAGUGCUCCUUAUCAUUGAUGGCUUUGUGGACUCGAAUGCUCGGCACAUGUUUCCUAGCUGUGGCUGGUAGCCUAAGCUGGUUUUCCCCAUGUGACAGUAGUUUGCUGCCUAGAGAGAUGAAUUUAUCAAGUAUCUCUACAACUUGUCUACUUGAAUUUCUUCCACCUCCGAGAUCUUAGUUUUCACUUGAGAAGUGUAUUGUUCAUAACUAUAUGUUUUCUGAUGAAGACUCUUAAACAUUAUUCACACACCAGCUGCAAAGGGGGCGUGAUCUGCAUUACCCACAGUGAAAACAUCAACCAAAACUUUACUGGUGUUUGCAAGCACAUGUCUCAAUAUGAAGCUAUCUCAUGGCUUAACAGAUGUGCAGCUAGGAUGCAUGCCUAUCUCUGUCUAGACCUUAGAUGAUAUCAAGAGAAUGAUUCUCCAGUUGUACCCUGAUCCUGAACCUUCUCAUGGAUCUUGAAUUAGACCUAAGGGGCUAUUAGAUGGCAGUGCCUCAUCAAGACUUGCAUAGCAUGUUCAGCUGUGAGACUCAAUGGCCACUUUGAGUCCAAGAAUGGGAGCUGUCAAAGGGAGAUUGCAUUUGAAAUGACUCUCAGGUGAAGGACAGGGACUGCAUGUUCACUGAAGGUCACUCUGCAGUGAAAGUAAUUCUAUGCAACAGGACACAGUUUGAGUCUGAGGAGCUGGAUCAACUCCAAUGCAUUAAGAUCAGUGUUGUUGAAAGAUAUCUGCGAUAGACCAGUGGUAUACUGACAGAUCACCUGUGGGAAUAAACAGCCUAAGGGUGUCUGCAUGGUGGCACCUUGUACUCAUGGAAGCAUGACAUUGCUGUAGCAUCACCUUCCAGAAAAGAGCACAGUCUGGGACAUACCUGUUCACAGGAGGUAAAGUACUUACUGCUGGUUUGCAAGGAGCAGCAUAACAAGGUCUCAUUUGGAAGCUUCAAUUCAACUCAAGAAGAUCCAGUAAUUUUUCUAAGUGAGAUGAUCUGUGAAGAUCAUGCCUGCAAAGAACUGUGAAGGCAAGCAGCUAGGCUCCCUUUACUGAAUGUGCUAAGAGCAUGAAAUAUAUCUCUUAUAUUUACAGUUAUAGAAAUAAAGUUAUAUUCUAGAAAUAUAACUUAGAUUGUUAUCAUAGCAAUAAAGUAGGCCUGUGAGUUAUUUGCAGUCUGCAAUUUUUCCUGGUCAGAUUUGUAGUUGGCCUCAAGUAAUUUCUUUGUGUUGCUUGGGAAAUUGAAUUCCCUUCCCCCUCUGUAGCUUGGUGGCUGAGUACAAAUACAACUGCUUCGAUGUUUUAAGAGCAUCGAGUGACUGUUUUUUUCCAGGCUAGAAGACAUAUUGCUGAGAAGUUCCACUGACUAAAUGUCUGUUCUCUCAAACAGACAUUGGAAAGCAUGUUUGUAAUUUCAUACUCUGUUUUGUUAGAUAUAUACAAAUGCGGAACUAAAACCAAACAAAAAUCCAUUCCCUAAAGAGAAUAAGUGUACACAAUCUGUACAGAAAACUAUUUCCAAGCAAUACAGACACUAAAUGGUAUUCUUAAGUUUUCUUUUUAAUAUCAUUUUACUCCAAUAGCUCUAAUUAGCAAAGGCAAAAAUAAAUACCUGAAGCAUUU